rnacentral:sRNA from 1 species
UUUUCGCAUUAGGGAUUGCAGUGAUAUCCUUUUAAUUUAUUCGGAAAUUAAAAGAUUUAGCGCAAAGCCCGACAGCUU